rnacentral:lncRNA from 1 species
CGUCACAGAAGAUGACAGUGGCACCAACAAGCUCUUCAUUGAGUUCUGCUACGAUAUAUCUAACAGCAAAGUUGAACUCUAGUAUCAUGUCGUUAAUGGUUUCGACACACUGUCCAUUCUUGCUAUGGUAUAGCCAUAGGUAAUAAGGAGCACACCCUAUUGGAGCAGUAUCAUGUCGUUUAUGGUUUCGACACACUGUCCAUUCUUUCUAUGGUAUAGCCAUAGGUAAAAUAAGGAGCACAACCUAUUGGAGCCAGUCCCGUUACAACCACCUUUCUCACGUUGGCAUUGUA